rnacentral:rRNA from 1 species
UACGAGAGGACCGGGAUGGACGAACCUCUGGUGUUCCAGUUGUCGUGCCAACGGCAUCGCUGGGUAGCUAUGUUCGGAAGGGAUAACCGCUGAAAGCAUCUAAGUGGGAAGCCCACCUCAAGAUAAGAUAUCCCUUUCGAUGGAGACAUCGAAACUGAAGACCCCUUAUAGACUAUGAGGUUGAUAGGUCAGAGGUGUAAGUGUGGUAACACAUUCAGCUUACUGAUACUAAUCGGUCGUGAGGCUUAACCAU